AUUGAACGCUGGCGGCAGGCCUAACACAUGCAAGUCGAACGGUAACAGGAAGCAGCUUGCUGCUUUGCUGACGAGUGGCGGACGGGUGAGUAAUGUCUGGGAAACUGCCCGAUGGAGGGGGAUAACUACUGGAAACGGUAGCUAAUACCGCAUAACGUCGCAAGACCAAAGAGGGGGACCUUAGGGCCUCUUGCCAUCGGAUGUGCCCAGAUGGGAUUAGCUAGUAGGUGGGGUAACGGCUCACCUAGGCGACGAUCCCUAGCUGGUCUGAGAGGAUGACCAGCCACACUGGAACUGAGACACGGUCCAGACUACUACGGGAGGCAGCAGUGGGGAAUAUUGCACAAUGGGCGCAAGCCUGAUGCAGCCAUGCCGCGUGUAUGAAGAAGGCCUUCGGGUUGUAAAGUACUUUCAGCGGGGAGGAAGGGAGUAAAGUUAAUACCUUUGCUCAUUGACGUUACCCGCAGAAGAAGCACCGGCUAACUCCGUG
rnacentral:rRNA from 1 species